GUCCUUUUGAAUUUUUAUUUAAGGUCUAGUCUGCCCACUGAAUUAGUAUUUUAAAUGGCCGCAGUAUUUUGACUGUGCAAAGGUAGCAUAAUCAUUAGUUUUUUAAUUAAAAGCUUGUAUGAAAGGCUGGACGAGGUAAAAUCUGUCUCUAUUUAAAUUAUAAUAGAAUUUAACUUUUAAGUUAAAAGGCUUAAAUAUUAUUAAAAGACGAGAAGACCCUAUAGAGCUUUAUAAUUUAUUAAAUAAAAUUAAUUUAGAAAUAUUUAUGUUUUAUUUAAUUUAAUUAUUUUAUUGGGGUAAUAGAAAGAUUGAAUUAAUUCUUUUUUAUAAUAAACAUUAAUUUAUGAAUAUUAAAUGAUCCAAUUUUAUUGAUUAUAAGAUUAAGUUACCUUAGGGAUAACAGCGUAAUUUUUUUAGAGAGUUCAUAUCGAUAAAAAAGUUUGCGACCUCGAUGUUGGAUUAAAGAUUAUUUUAGGUGUAGAAGCUUAAUAAAUUUGGUCUGUUCGACCAUUAAAUCUUUAC
rnacentral:rRNA from 2 species